rnacentral:rRNA from 1 species
GAAUCGACGGCGUUCGCGCGUCGUCGGUUCGAUAUUUCCGUCGCCGACCAUUUACACGGACGUCGCGACCCGUUCGGUGUCGGUCUGCAGGAGACGUGCGAAAGUUCGUGUGCGUUCGCCGGGGUUUCGGCUUCGGCGGGCGUUUCGCGAGUGCGCGUUCUUUUCUGGCCGACUCGCCGGACGGUAUGCGAAGCGGUGAUCGCGGCGGCCUCUCGUCAGCGCCGUCGCGUUACCGGUCUGCGACGAAUCUUCGGGCCUCUUUCCGACCCGUCUUGAAACACGGACCAAGGAGUCUAACGUGCGCGCGAGUCGCGGGGUGUCGAGCGGCUGGCGGCGUUCGCUUGCGGGCGUCGUCGGCCGUUCGUUACAAUACGAAACCCGUCUCGUUUUACGAAAGGCGCAAUGAAAGUGAAUUUACGGGGAAGAUGACGUUACCGAGUUCACGUUCCGCGCUCUCGAAGCGCGGCCGGUCGUCCGCAUUCCCAGGGCGUCCCAAUGGCCCGGCGGCGUUGCGGACUGUCGUUCCUUCGGGGGCGGCGGUCGGGCGUCGUCGAACCGGGGCGCACCUAUAGCGUGCACGUUGGU